rnacentral:tRNA from 1 species
GGUGGCUCAGUGGUAGAGUGCUUGCCUUGCAUGCACGAGACUCUGGGUUCAAUUCCUCAGCACCG